rnacentral:rRNA from 1 species
AAUGAACGCUGGCGGCAUGCCUAACACAUGCAAGUCGAACGAAGGCUUCGGCCUUAGUGGCGCACGGGUGCGUAACGCGUGGGAAUCUGCCCUCAGGUUCGGAAUAACAGCGAGAAAUUGCUGCUAAUACCGGAUGAUAUCGCGAGAUCAAAGAUUUAUCGCCCGAGGAUGAGCCCGCGUAGGAUUAGCUAGUUGGUGUGGUAAAGGCGCACCAAGGCGACGAUCCUUAGCUGGUCUGAGAGGAUGAUCAGCCACACUGGGACUGAGACACGGCCCAGACUCCUACGGGAGGCAGCAGUGGGGAAUAUUGGACAAUGGGCGCAAGCCUGAUCCAGCAAUGCCGCGUGAGUGAUGAAGGCCUUAGGGUUGUAAAGCUCUUUUACCAGGGAUGAUAAUGACAGUACCUGGAGAAUAAGCUCCGGCUAACUCCGUGCCAGCCGCCGCCGUAA